UACGGGGGGGGCAAGCGUUGUUCGGAAUCACUGGGCUUAAAGGGCGCGUAGGCGGCUUCCCAAGUCCGGGGUGAAAUCUUUCGGCUUAACCGGAAAAGUGCCUUGGAUACUGGGGGGCUCGAGGGGGGCAGGGGCAAGCGGAACUUCCGGUGGAGCGGUGAAAUGCGUUGAUAUCGGAAGGAACGCCGGCGGCGAAAGCGGCUUGCUGGACCCCACCUGACGCUGAGGCGCGAAAGCCAGGGGAGCGAACGGG
rnacentral:rRNA from 1 species